rnacentral:tRNA from 1 species
AAGGGAGACCUAAUUCAGGUAGGAGACGAAAAAAAGUAGUCCCUACCAAGAAUCAAUCCCAAAAGGUCGGAGCGAGGCAAAAUUGGCUUUCAAACUAGGUUCUGGGUUCACAUAAGACCUGAAUCAGGAACAAGGGCUAUUAGCUCAGGUGGUUAGAGCGCACCCCUGAUAAGGGUGAGGUCCCUGGUUCGAGUCCAGGAUGGCCCACCUGCACAGGUGGCAAAAACAAAGAAAAGAAGCUCCGAAUCAGCACCUUAUCUUACUCAUAUAGUAAGAGAGAAUGCUGGCUCUGAGUUCAGAGUCCAGAGGAACCUUGAAAACUGCAUAGAGCUAGGUGAAAAAGCCAAAAAAGAAGACCGCAAGGUCAAGCUAAUAAGGGCUAACGGUGGAUACCUAGGCAC